UUUCUUACCGUUGUGAACAAACGAUUCUAAACUGGUUUUAAGAGUAUGUCACAAACGUAGACAAACAGUUUCAUGGAACAAUGCUCGACGAACUUUACACUUCACUUGUAUAUCAGGCAUGUUGACAAUUGUGCAAAAUUUACUCGAUUUCGCGAAAUUCGAAGACCUUCUGUUGAUUAUCUCACUUCUUCGAAGCCUUCGAAUGUAGUGCGAUCUCUGGACUUUGAGGUAGCUGGAGGUGGAGCAAAUUUCAGCGUUGGAUAAUGCCAAUUGAUAUGCUUGGCUAGAGCUAUACUGAAAAAAAAAUCGAUUGCUCGUACUUGACGAAGCUACCGCAAAUGUCGACAAUGGAUACCAUGAGGUGGAAAUUCGCCGACUGUACGGUUUUGAUAAUAGCACAUUGAUUGAAAACGAUAAUGGACAGUGACCGAUUAUUGGUCAUGGAAGCCGGUCGCAUCUUGGAUUUUGGACAUCCCUAUUUGCUGUUGCAAAAUCGAGACGGCCACUUUUCGCUAAUGUUUCAAAAAACCGGAAAGGUGAUGAGGAAAGAACUUUCGAAGGUUGCUGAGAAUGCGAAACGGCUCGAUGUUGAAUCCAGGAAAAUAUCGAACGUCGGCACCAUCUCUAAUAUCAGAUAGACCAGACAUUCAUCGCGAAAAUAGUUCCAGAACUGACUGAGUCUUACUUCGAAUAGUCAGAUCCUCAAAGGCACUGAUGAAAAGCAAUUUCGUCAAACCCUUGUCAUCGAUCAUUAGGUACAACAAGAUACUUGCGUCUAACGCAGCUGCAGUUUACAGUCAAAUAUGUAAUUAAACGUUUAUAAAGCAUAAGU